rnacentral:tRNA from 1 species
GGGGAUAUGGCUCAGUGUUAGAGCACUCUCCUGGUACUUGUGAAGCCCUGAGUUUGAUUCCCAGAGUCCUUA